rnacentral:rRNA from 1 species
GACGGAGGGUGCUAGCGUUGUUCGGAAUCACUGGGCGUAAAGCGCACGUAGGCGGCUUUCUAAGUCAGGGGUGAAAUCCUGGAGCUCAACUCCAGAACUGCCUUUGAUACUGGAGAGCUUGAGUCCGGGAGAGGUGAGUGGAACUCCGAGUGUAGAGGUGAAAUUCGUAGAUAUUCGGAAGAACACCAGUGGCGAAGGCGGCUCACUGGCCCGGUACUGACGCUGAUGUGCGAAAGCGUGGGGAGCAAACAGG